rnacentral:misc_RNA from 1 species
GAUGAUCAAGGUAUCUACAAUAGGUUGACUUGGUGGGAGCAGAUAGAUAGUGGGAAGCAGCUUACACGCAAUAGGAAGUUUCUAACAGUUGUCCCUGUGGUGCUCUACUUGAUAGCCUCCCAUACAACUGAUUAUCAACACCCCAUGCUAUUCUUCAACACUAUCGCAGUUUUUGUACUGGUCGUUGCCAAAUUUCCCAAUAUGCACAAGGUUCGUAUUUUCGGGAUAAAUGCAGAUCAAUGAACUUUGGUUCAACUGAAGUCAUACCACAGAAAGAAGGAAAAAGAAAAGUAGUCAUUGAUUUGCUUUUAAGCAUCAUGAGUAAAACUGGGAUGCCCCUGUACAGAUGCAAGAACUGGAAAGGGUUUAUCAUUAUUUUGUAAAAGAAAUCUCUUUGUGGAUAAUCUUUUCUUGUAAAAACUGUUUGUAUGAGAAUGCUG